GAGUCCUUUUAAGACAAGUUAAGGAACAGGAUAGGUCAUAUUUUGGUAGGAUGAUCAGGAAAGGAUUCCCUAAUAAGGUGACAUUUUGUCACAGAACCACGUAAAGCAUGGGAGUGAGCCAUGAGGAUGUCUGAGGGAUGAGUGUUCCAGGCAGAAGGAAGGGUAAGUGCAAAGUCUGACAUGGGACCGUUCUUGGCAUGUUAGGCGAAUACUGAAAGGAGGCCUUUUUUGGUUGGAAUAAAAUUAGAGAGGGAGAGGGCAAUUGAAAAUAACAUCUGAAAGAUACCUGGGGGUAAGAUUAUGCUGGGUCUUACAGAGCAAUGUAAUAAUGUUGGAUUUCAUUCUGAGUGGGAUGAGAAACCAUCAGAGGGGUUUGAGUUUAGAAAUAACAUGAUCUGACUUUUGUUUUCAAGCAAAGAAACAAACAAACAAAAAAGCAUCACUGUAAGAUGAUGUGUGGAAACAGAAGAUCAGUUCAUUGGCUAUUUAGAAUAAUUCAGGUGAAAGGAGAUGUUGGUUUGAACUAGGGUGGCAGUGAUGCUGAGGCAAAAAUUGGCUGAUUCAGGGUGUAUUUUUCAGAUAGAGUGGAAGAAUUUGCUCAUGAAUUUGAUGUGAAGUAUGAAAGAAACAGAGUAGUCAAGGGGAAUGGCAAGGUCUUUGGUCUGAGCAGUGAAUGAAGGCCACUUAUUUGAGGCAGGGAGCCUUAGGGGAGGAGCAAGGAUGAGUGGUAAAUCAAGGGUUCAGUCUUGGACAUUUGGAGUUUGAUAUCUAGUGGACAUCGUAGUGAAGAUCUUUAUAGGCUGUUGGAUUUGCGAGUCUGGAGUUCACAGGAGAGGUUUGUGCCAGAGGUAAAGCUUUGGAAGUUGUCAGGUUAUGGGAAGUGGAUGAGAUCACUAAGAGAGUGGGUGCAGACAGAGAAGGGAUACAAGGACUGGGUCCUGAGGCCCUCCAACAUUUAGAAGUCAGGAAGAUGAGGAAGACCCAACAAUUGAAAUUGAGGAGAAAAGGCUGGUUCUCAGAAGGAUAACUAGCAGAGCAUAAUGUUCCAGGAGCUAAAUUUAAAAAAACUGUUUCAAGAAGGAGGGAGUGGGGUGAUAUUAGAGAAAAUGGCAAAGGAAGGGCAUUUGAAAAUUCUGUCCUCCACAAAAACAAUGAAAAAACUGGCAAAAAUAUUCAGAAUCAACUUUUUUUUUUUCAGAACUCUGCAAACUGACCAAAGACUUGCAGUAACCUGGGGAGUGAAGAAAAAUGGCUGAAUCUCAGGCAACCACUAAGAAAAAAGAAAGGAGUGAUCAACUGGGUCAAAUGCUGCUGAUAGUUUAAGAUGAGAUCUGAGGGUUGACGACUUGAUUUGGCAACAUGGCGAUCACUGGAAGAAAUUUUGAGAUCAGAGGGGAAUUGCUGCAGCAUCAUGUUUCUCACCCAAACGUCCCAGGCAUUGGCAUCUUUGAUUAUUGGGAGAAUAUGUAUAUACGUACAUGUGCAUGUAUGUAUACACAGAUUUGUGUGUGUUUUGAAUAAUACUGUAUUAAUAUAUUAUGCCCAUUAGAAAAGAUACACAAAAAUGUAAAUUUUUAGAAGUUUAAGAUAAAUUUAAAAGAAAGUUGAUAAUUAAGAUGAUGUAUCAUAUAAUCAAUAAUACCUCAGGCACUCAGACACUCAGAGUGAGGUACAUUGUGAAUAAAUCCAUGCUUCAAAUAUCUUCUUGCUAAUUUUGAAUUUUCUGGCUGUCUUUUUAUCAGCUGCAGUUAGAUUCAUCCUUGCUUACUUAGUAGUGAGUUUAUACCUAGAAGAGUAGUAACGAUUGUUAUUCAUUGUUUUCUUGUCAUUCUCUCUGCCUUCAUUAUUAGUAUUAUCUUCCAACUGGGUUUUUUUGGCCCAGAUUUCUUUUUUAUUUUAACUUUAUUAUGGAGAAUUUCAAACAAACAUAAAGAGACAGAAUAUGAACCCCAAUAUAUCCAUCAUACUCCUUUCUCAGUUAUCAAUUCAUGACCCAUUCUUCCCUCCAGCCCUGUAGCAUUUUGAAACUAAUCCCAUGCAUUUUAUUAUUUCAUCUGGAAAUAAUUCAGUGUGUAUAUCUAAAGUAUAAGGACUCUUUUUAAAAAAACCUAACUACAAUGCCAUUACCAUAACCAAAAAAUAAUUUGAAGGAAUCUUUAACUUGAAGUAAUGGGAGAAUCUUUUAUUAAAAAAAAAUUUAUUGGAGUGUAGUUGAUUUACGAUGCUAAUUUCUGCUGUACAGCAAAGUGAGUCAUUUAUACAUAUAUCCACUCUUUUUUAGAUUCUUUUCCCAUAUAGAUUAUUACAGAGUAUUGAGUUCCCUGUGCUAUACAGUAGAUCUUUAUUAGCUAUUUUAUAUAUAGGAGUGUGUGUAUGUCAAUCCCAAUCUCCCAAUUUAUCCCUUCCCCUGCUUUCCCCCUGGUAACCAUAAGUUUGUUUUUUACAUCUGUGACUCUAUUUCUGUUUUGUAAAUAAGUUCACUUGUACAAUUUUUUUAGUCCACAUAUAAGCGAUAUAUUUGUCUUUCUUUGUCUGACUGACUUCACUCAGGAUGACAAUCUCUAGGUCCAUCCAUGUUGCUGCAAACGGCAUUAUUUUGUUCUUUUUUUAAUGGUGGAGUAAUAUUCCAUUGUAUAUAUGUACCGCAUCUUCUUUAUCCAUUCCAUUGUCGAUGGACAUUUAGGUGGCUUCCACGUCCGGGCUAUUGUAAAUAGUACUGCAAUGAACAUUGGGGUGCAUGUAUCUUUUUGAAUUAUGGUUUUCUCCAGACAUAUGCCCAGGAGUGGGACUGCUGGAUCAUAUGGUAGCGCUAUUUCUAGUUUUUUAAGGAACCUCCAUACUGUUCUCCAUAAUAGUUGUACCAACUUAUAUUCCCACCAACAGUGUUGGAGGGUUAAUGGGGGAAAUCUUUGCAAUAAAAAAAUCAGGUAAGGAAGGAAGAGUGUUUUUAGCACAAUAAAGACCCAGCAGCGCAGAGGACCCGGCCAGAGAAGCUCACAGCUGUGCCACCCCGGUCCCGCAUGCUCCCUUCUGCGCUGCGGGGGACACGCUGCCUCAACUCAGGUCCCACGGCCGGGCUGGCCUGGACGCUGGGCUCCAGCGUCCAUGAGGAACGGUGAAGCUCGGUUCACGUCUGGAUUUUAUCACAACCCUCUCCCCCCAUUGCAGGCAUCAACAUACAACAGUCAAUUUUCCUAAGUAGUAAUAGUAAACAAGUUUCCAAAAUGUUAAUUCCUCAAAAUCAUCUCGGAAUAAACGACAAUCCUUUGGCUUGAGUAUUUAGUUUUGUGAAAGAGUCACUAAAUUGUUCUGAUUUCCCUUUUCUCCACCGACAUCCCUGGACAGAGUUGCAGACCAGGGAGUGGAAACGGUCAAGACAACCGGGGCUCAGGUCUGAUAUCUCGGGCUGACAAGGAGACUUGGGGCCACUCCGUUUGGGAGGAGGCACUUCCUCAGGGGGCAGCUCCCUGUCUUCCGCUCUUAUCGAGCUUGCCGCCCGCCGCAGGGCACGCUUCCGCUCCUUCCACGUGCUGGCCUGUCUCCGCUACUCGGAGGAGGGCCAGGCCUCCGCGAGGAGCCUUGCCAACAGGGGUAUACGACCCCGCACGCACCGGGGCCACUGCUCGGGCGACCCAGCCUGGGACGCACCCACAGGUACAACACUGGUAGCCAGAAGAGAAACGCGACAUGUGGGCGGGGCCGGGCGCCGGAGGCGGGCCCGCACUCAGCCGGCCCACAGCGCUUCCGCCUUCUGUGGGAGCCUUUUGUGAGAACUGGGAGGGGGCCCUCGUUACAUAAAGGAGAGCACGGGCCGGCCCAAUGCAGUCACGUCAGCUCCUUCCACCGCCUCCCCUCCAGUCCCGCUCGGAGGCCCGGCGAGCACCGGCCGGGACGUGACAUCCAAUCGCUGGCCACCGCGGCUGCGCCCGCCGCCUCAUCUGCCGAAAGGCUAGUUCUCGGGGUGCACCCGCAUCGAGCACCCACCCCUGCAGCCCAGCCUUUACCCAGCCUUCCCAACUAGAGGAAAGGGUUGCAGGUAGGGAAGAACGGGAGGGGCCCGCGCGCUGGGGCGGCCUCCCAUUGGCUCCUCUCUCUCUGCCCUCCGUCCCGAUUGGCCGCGGGUCGAGCGCACGGGCCGUGCACGCUGCCCCGCGCCGCGGGACGUUGGACUGGGGGGGGGGGGGGCG